UACAGAGGGUGCAAGCGUUAAUCGGAAUUACUGGGCGUAAAGCGUGCGUAGUCGGUUAUCUAAGUCAGGUGUGAAAUCCCCAGGCUUAACCUGGGAACUGCAUCCGAUACUGGAUGGCUUGAAUCCGGGAGAGGGAUGCAGAAUUCCAGGUGUAGCGGUGAAAUGCGUAGAUAUCUGGAGGAAUACCGGUGGCGAAGGCGGCAUCCUGGACCGGCAUUGACGCUGAUGAGCGAAAGCCAGGGGAGCAAACGGG
rnacentral:rRNA from 1 species